GUUUACCAGAGAGAAAAGAAAUGGUCUCAGCUUACAGGCUAAGCUGUCCUUAAAAUUCAGAGCAUGCAAACCAAAGACCAGCAAUGAGCAUCUGAACAGCAUAUGAAGUCCCAGGAAGAUAAGACUAGAAGAUUGACCCUAGGGCCAACUUCCACCCCAUGUUCAUUGCUCCAGCCAUAUGCAGUAUAUCCAGGAUGAGACUCUUAUCUUCAUCUAUGGAAACCCACCUACCACAUCCUGAGGUCCUGGGGUAGAACAGAGCCUUGUCCUGGCUUCACAGACACAAGAGAAACAUAGGAAAGAAGGAGAAGGAGAAGAAGAAGAAAGAAGAAGGAGGAGGAGGAGGAGAAGAGGAAG